rnacentral:rRNA from 1 species
AACGAACGCUGGCGGCAGGCCUAACACAUGCAAGUCGAGCGAACCCUUCGGGGUUAGCGGCGGACGGGUUAGUAACGCGUGGGAAUAUACCCUUUGGUACGGAAUAGCCUCGGGAAACUGAGAGUAAUACCGUAUGUGCCCUUCGGGGAAGAUUAUCGCCAAAGGAUUAGCCCGCGUUGGAUUAGGUAGUUGGUGGGGUAAGUGGCCUACCAAGUCUACGAUCCAUAGCUGGUUUGAGAGGAUGAUCAGCAACACUGGGACUGAGACACGGCCCAGACUCCUACGGGAGGCAGCAGUGGGGAACCUUAGACAAUGGGCGCAAGCCUGAUCUAGCCAUGCCGCGUGGACGAUGAAGGCCUUAGGGUUGUAAAGUCCUUUCAGAUGGGAAGAUAAUGACGGUACCGAUCAGAAGAAGCCCCGGCUAACUCCGUGCCAGCAGCCGCGGUAAAGU